rnacentral:miRNA from 1 species
CUCUGUGUCAUUUUACACAGCGUGGGAAAGUCUUUGGAAUUUUCCCACACUGUGUAAAAUGACAAAGGG